UAUGGCAAUGUUGAAACACUGUUUCUCAUAAACACACUGAAGUUAAGCAACAUUGACCCUGGACAGUACCUAGAUGGGUGACUGCUUGGGAAUACCAGAUGCUGUAAG